UUUUUUUUAAAGUAUUUUAUUUUACUUCUUUAAAGAUCAUAGUAUCAAAAUCAAUUAAAAUGAAUUGGUUCAGGAUUGAAACACUAAAGUGCAACCCAAUAAGAACUCAUAAGUAGAUUCCAAGAUAAAUUUUCGAUACUAAGACAGAUGGAAUCCUUUUCAAUUAAUUUUCAGAAACAAAUGAUUUACUGAUGAAUAUAGAUGGAAAUCCAACUUUCAAAAGAAGAACAAAGUUUAAUACCACUUUACCUUUAGUAUUCAUUCUCUCAUCUUUAGAUGCGAAUUUACAUGAUUAAGUUCUAUAUGAUCUCUUACUCUGAAAUUUUUUUUCAAACUUUCUUUUCUUUUAUAAUAUCAAGAAUGUAGAGUGAUCCAGAAUUUUUCAAAAUUUAUAGCAAUCACUCUUUUUAAUCUUUUAAGAAUAAAUUAUAUUUCCUCUUAAUUUUUUUUAAAUAUGUAUGGAAAUAUUAAUCAGAAAAUAAUUCUUUUGAAGCUCAAAUUUCUUUCAAAAGUAAUUACAUUUUCUUUCCUAUAAGAAUUAUUGGAGUGAGUUAAAAUAUUUUAAGCUUUAGAAUCAUUAACUCUCUUCUUAAGAAUAGCUUUUCUUUUUAAUGAUAGAAGCAUUUAAUAAUGCAGGAGUGUAUAUUCAAAAUAUUAAUUUCUUAGUCAUAGUUUUUCAGCAAUGUAUAUAUAAAGCACGAUAAAUCUUUUUAAUAUUAAAAUAACAUCAUAUGUUUAGAAGCAUUUGUUCGUAAUCAAGAUCAUUAAAAAAUACAUCAUUUAGACCAAUUUCAGUACACUUAUAAGAUAAAAAAU
rnacentral:lncRNA from 1 species